rnacentral:lncRNA from 1 species
AACGCAGAGGUGGGAGACAGAGUGGGUGGGGAGGGGAGCCGCCAUACAGUGGCCAAGACCAGCUUUGCCCAAGUGGUGGCAACCGCAUGACCACAGGAACGAUGGCGCCAAGCCACUGGUGAAUAUGCUGCAAAAAAUAUGCUGGAACUUCUGUGAAUACCACAGGGUGUGAGAAGAAAACAUUAGAACUUCUAUUUUGUACCUGUGUUACUUCACAACAAGAAAGAAAUCAGCUUGAUCAAUGCCUACUGUAAAGACGGCACCGCCCUCCGGAGGCCCUCUCUCAGCCCUGGUGCUGGGACAGCCGCAUCCCCUCGCGGCAGGGGGAGGCCUGAAGCAUAGAGGGGCCCACACAGGUCUAUUCUGUUUCAGUGAAUUGCCUGGGAAAUAAUCCAGGAUCCAUUUUGUGUGGUCAUCUUGUCUCCCUGGUCCCCUCCAGCCUUUCCUCAUCUUUUGUGACCUGGUCACUCUGGAAGGGCGCUGGCCUGUUAGUCCACAGGAUGGGCCUCCCCUGGGGCUUUUCUGAUGCUUCCUUAUGAUGGCACUGGCAUCCUGAGGGGGAGGACCACAGAGAGGAGGUGCCCCUCAUCACACCACAUGGGGGUCUAUGCACCAGCACCACUGCUUUCCAGGGCCCUUCACCUCCAUCACAGGUGGAGGCGGCGUCUGCCAGGAAGCAGAAAGUCGAGGCUUAGAAGGUGCAUGGCCCUACCUCUUCUGAGGUGCCCCUGCGGGCUGUCUACAGACCAGGCAGCACACGCCUGAUAGCAGCUGCAUAAGGAAAAGCAGGAGCCAGCUCGUGCACAGUGCCCUCAACAGAAGCCAGGGCCAUGUCCUCGAACUUCCUAGUCUGCACAAUGUCUGUCUUUCAGACACCUCUGAUGAAACUGAAAAUGCCACCAGGGAGAAGCAGCUGAAAUAACACUUGUGCUGAGGUUGCUGAGCCAUUGUGGAAGACAUCCAAGCUCCAUAAAGACAGGUCAUGUGCACAUGCUCCAGUCAACAGCCCAGCUGAGCCCUCAGCAUACAGCCAACACCAACUGCCAGCUGUGGGUGAAACAACUUGGAUGUCCACUUGGAUGUCAAGCUGGACUUCAGAUGCCUGUGGCUGCAGCUAACCUCUGUCUGCAACUACAUGGAAGACCCCAUGUGAACCACCUAGCAGAGCCCUUCCUAGAAUUGUUGGCCCUCAGACUCUACACGCAUACCAAAAUGAAUGUUGUUUGAAGCCGU